GGUGUUGGGCAUUGGUAUUGCUGUUGGUGUAGGUGUUGCUGUCGUACUCUCCUAGUCGUUGUCGUAGUCGUAGUCGUUGUCGUUGCUGGUUAGCCUCGGCUUGUAAUAAGGCAUCCAUUAUGAGACUAUGUGCAUAGUUUUUGGGCAACGACACAACGCAGCACAAACGCAACAGCAGCAGCAGCAACACCAGCAGCAGCAGCAACACCAGCAGCAGUCACACACAUUGCAAGUCCCCGACAAGUCGUCUCACUUCACACGCAUUAAACGUGCCCUGGUUUAGCUUGUUCCGGUUUUUUUUUUAUUUUUUGACUACUCGUCUGUGUGUGGCCAAUGACAAGGCAAAAAUUGUAAAAUUGUCCUGCCAACGCUAUGAACACAGCACUGAUUGCGAAUCAAAUCAAAGGACAUUAGUAACUCUCAAUUGCAAGCCCAACAUUGGGCCAAUCCAAACUGGCACAUCAAUUUUGGUUCUCCUAUCCGCCACCUGGCGCUGGCGGCGGCUCCUCAAACAGCAAAACGUCGCAAACCGACGAGGAGAAGCAGCGCGAUCGACAGCGCAGCGAGCGCGAGGCCAAAAAGGAAGAGCAGGACGCUAUCAACUACAAGCCUUAAUUCUCGAAAAAUAUAUAUACAGUGUAUUGUGUAACGCGCAAUAAAUCAGUCAAUCGAGUCGUGUCUCGGUCUCGAGUCCGAAACACACAAAUGACGGCAAAAAAGAAAAUCGCAAAACCAAAAAAAAAAUUAAUAAGCAAAAUGCAACGCA